CGGGUACAUAAUUUCAUUUUUUUUUUCCAUCCCUCGUAUAUUUGCUUAAAUGUUGCUGGUUAGUGCCUUUUGUUUUGUUUCAUACUCCUAGACAUAUUCUGAUUAAUAUUGAUGAUGGCCAUUUUAUUGGACACAGUUGGAUUGAUUUUUGUGAUUGCCUUUCUUUUCUUUAUUAACAUUAUUUUGAGUUUUAUUUUUCUUGUGAUCAGUAGAUUGUAACAUUAACCACUUGAUUUGGUUAUAGCAUCAAGGGUAAACUUUUUGGUCUUCUUAUUAAGAAACGUACAAAUCUUGAAAUUUCCUUACAGUUCUGUGUUGAUCGUUUUUUGGAUUUCAG
rnacentral:misc_RNA from 1 species